rnacentral:tRNA from 2 species
GGCACCAUAGUUGAAUAACAACAUUAAAUUGCAGAUUUAAAGGAGUACAGUAGAUACUAGUGCCU